GAUCAUGGCUCAGGACGAACGCUGGCGGCGCGCAUAACACAUGCAAGUCGAACGAGCGAGAGAGAGCUUGCUUUCUCAAGCGAGUGGCGAACGGGUGAGUAACGCGUGAGGAACCUGCCUCAAAGAGGGGGACAACAGUUGGAAACGACUGCUAAUACCGCAUAAGCCCACGACCCGGCAUCGGGUAGAGGGAAAAGGAGCAAUCCGCUUUGAGAUGGCCUCGCGUCCGAUUAGCCAG
rnacentral:rRNA from 1 species